GACGAACGCUGGCGGCGUGCUUAACACAUGCAAGUCGAACGAGGUCCACUGCGUAGCAAUACAAGGGAAGACCUAGUGGCGAACGGGUGCGUAACACGUGAGGAACUUGUCCCGGUCUCUGGGAUAACAGUUGGAAACGACUGCUAAUACCGGAUGACGUCGGAAUCUCGCAUGGGAUACUGACGAAAGGGUUACUGGAUCGGGAGAGCCUCGCGGCCUAUCAGCUUGUUGGUGAGGUAACGGCUCACCAAGGCAUCGACGGGUAGCUGGUCUGAGAGGAUGAUCAGCCACACUGGGACUGAGACACAGCCCAGACUCCUACGGGAGGCAGCAGUGGGGAAUCUUGCGCAAUGGGCGAAAGCCUGACGCAGCAACGCCGCGUGCGGGAAGAAGGCCCUCGGGUUGUAAACCGCUUUCAGUAGGAACGAAAUGGCGGUACCUGCAGAAGAAGGUGCGGCCAACUACGUGCCAGCAGCCGCGGUAA
rnacentral:rRNA from 1 species